CGUAAAGAACCUACCUUAUAGACAGGGACAACAUUGGAAACGAUAGCUAAUACCUGAUAAGAAAGAAACUCGCAUGAGAGAAGUUCGAAAGUCGGAGCAAUCUGACACUAUAAGAUGGCUUUGCGGUGCAUUAGCUAGUUGGUAGAGUAAAAGCCUACCAAGGCGACGAUGCAUAGCCGACCUGAGAGGGUGAUCGGCCACAUUGGGACUGAGACACGGCCCAGACUCCUACGGGAGGCAGCAGCU
rnacentral:rRNA from 1 species